GACGAACGCUGGCGGCGUGCUUAACACAUGCAAGUCGAACGGAAAGGCCCUGCUUGCAGGGUGCUCGAGUGGCGAACGGGUGAGUAACACGUGUGUGAUCUGCCCCUUACUUUGGGAUAAGCCUGGGAAACUGGGUCUAAUACUGGAUAGGACCAUGCUGUAUGUGGUGUGGUGGAAAGAUUAGUUUCGGUAAGGGAUGAGCUCGCGGCCUAUCAGCUUGUUGGUGGGGUAAUGGCCUACCAAGGCGUCGACGGGUAGCCGGCCUGAGAGGGUGGACGGCCACAUUGGGACUGAGAUAAGGCGCAGACGACUACGGGAGGCAGCAGUGGGGAAUAGUGCACAAUGGGCGCAAGCCGGAUGCAGCGACGCCGCGUGGGGGAUGACGGCCGUCGGGUUGUAAACUCCUUUCAGCCAUGACGAAGAACUUGUGGUGACGGUAGUGGUAGAAGAAGCACCGGCUAACUACGUG
rnacentral:rRNA from 1 species